rnacentral:rRNA from 1 species
UGGCUAUCCCGAUGCGUGCUACGUAGUGUAGCUAAAGUGCAUUGCUGCCGCUGAGGAUGAGCUGCGUCCUAUAGUAGUGGUGAGGUAUGGCUACCAAGGCGAUGAUAGUAGCGGCUUAACGGGUGGUCGCCCACACUGGGAUGAGAUACGGCCCAGACUCCUACGAGAGGCAGCAGUCGAGAAUAGUCUACAAUGGUCGAAAGACUGAUAGUGCGACGCCGCGUGAACGAAGACUCCUUUCGGGGUGUAAAGUUCUUUUAUAUGUGAGCAGUGGAUGUUACAUUAAUAGUGUGAUAUCAGGGAUAUUAGCAUAUGAAUAAGCAACGGCUAACUCCGUGCCAGCAGCCGCGGUAACACGGGGGUUCGGAGCGUUGUCCGGAAUUACUAGGCGUAAAGGGCAGGUAGGCGGAGAUGUAAGUUUGAUGUUAAAGGUACUGGCUCACCCAGUGUACGGCAUCAGAUACUGCAUUUCUUGAAUACGGUUGGGGAAGACAGAAUUCCUGGUGUAGCGGUGGAAUGCGCAGAGAUCAGGAGGAAUACCGAAGGCGAAGGCAGUCUUCUAAGCCGGUUAUUGACGCUAAACUGCGAAGGUGUGGGAUCAAACAGG